GCAGUGGUGGUUCAGUGGUAGAAUUCUCACCUUCCAUGCAGAAGACCAGGGUUCAAUUCCCGGCCAAUGUA
rfam:Loxodonta africana unplaced genomic scaffold scaffold_137, whole genome shotgun sequence.